rnacentral:rRNA from 1 species
UAUAUGCGGGGCUCUUGCUCUGCAAUUGGAAUGAGAACAAUUUAAAUCACUUAACGAGUAUCAAUUGGAGGGCAAGUCUGGUGCCAGCAGCCGCGGUAAUUCCAGCUCCAAUAGCGUAUAUGUAAGUUGUUGCGAUUAAAAAGCCCGUAGCUGAACCUCGGGCAACCCUGACGGUCCGCGUUUCGUGAGUACUGUCGUGGGUUGUCUUUCUGGCAAGACCGUAUCUCGGUGUUAACUCGCCGGGAACGGCGCUUGCCAAGGUUACUUUGAGUAAAAUAGAGUGUUCAAAGCAAGCUCGCGCUCUGAAUACACUAGCAUGGGAUAACACGACAUGACCGAUGGUCUAUCUUGUUGGCCUGUAGACCUGUUGGUAAUGGCUAAUAGGGACGGUCGGGGGCAUUCGUAUUUCGCUGUCAGAGGUGAAAUUCUUGGAUUUGCGAAAGACGAACUACUGCGAAAGCAUUUGCCAAGGACGCUUUCAUUAGUCAAGGACGAAAGUCGGGGGAUCGAAGACGAU